AGUGAACGCUGGCGGUAGACCUAACACAUGCAAGUCGAACGGCAGCACAGUAAGAGCUUGCUCUUACGGGUGGCGAGUGGCGGACGGGUGAGGAAUACAUCGGAAUCUACUUUUUCGUGGGGGAUAACGUAGGGAAACUUACGCUAAUACCGCAUACGACCUACGGGUGAAAGCAGGGGAUCUUCGGACCUUGCGCGAUUGAAUGAGCCGAUGUCGGAUUAGCUAGUUGGCGGGGUAAAGGCCCACCAAGGAGACGAUCCGUAGCUGGUCUGAGAGGAUGAUCAGCCACACUGGAACUGAGACACGGUCCAGACUCCUACGGGAGGCAGCAGUGGGGAAUAUUGGACAAUGGGCGCAAGCCUGAUCCAGCCAUACCGCGUGGGUGAAGAAGGCCUUCGGGUUGUAAAGCCCUUUUGUUGGGAAAGAAAAGCAGCAGGUUAAUACCCCGCUGUUCUGACGGUACCCAAAGAAUAAGCACCGGCUAACUUCGUG
rnacentral:rRNA from 1 species